GACGAACCGUGCGAACGUUGUUCGGAAUCACUGGGCUUAAAGGGCGCGUAGGCGGGCAUUCAAGUCAGGGGUGAAAUCCUCCAGCUUAACUGGAGAACUGCCUUUGAUACUGGGUGCCUCGAGUGAGGUAGGGGCGUGCGGAACUGAUGGUGGAGCGGUGAAAUGUGUUGAUAUCAUCAGGAACUCCGGUGGCGAAUGCGGCGCGCUGGACCUUAACUGACGCUGAGGCGCGAAAGCCAGGGGAGCAAACGGG
rnacentral:rRNA from 1 species